UGCUUCUCACCCACCUGAACUUCUUUGUUCCACUUCCCUACCAGAUCUUUCAUGUCUUGUGGAUGAUUUUAGAGAAAUUUGUCAAAGAUUUCAAAGAUCUCAAAGGCGAAGUUGCUAAGUAUCAGUUUCAGCAAUGUGGGUGUCCAGAGGAGACAAAUACUCAGGUCUGCCUGAACUAAAGGAAAGGAUGCAGAGUGAAUUCAAGCAAUACUAAAGACAAGAAAAUCUGCAGAGAAGUCGUCUUUAUAGAUGCCUCAGUGUGACAAAAUCUUCACAGUUUGCAAUCAACCACAAAACAAAUCGGCAGGAGGUUGGACUUCAGUCAAAGAACUACUUUUGUAAAGCCCUUGCACACUGCAGGGACCAUGUCCAAUUGAAAUAUGUGAAAAAAUGAACCAUUGUGAACUGCUCCUGUCAUUACACAGGUCCAGCAUGAAAAGUAAAGAAGGAAAAGGGAAAGGGAGGCAGAAAGAGUCUUUGCCUCUGUCUGCCAGAUGCUUCUGAAAUGAGGGGGAGGGGGAAUAAAAAAUCCAGAAUAAAAGGAGAGAAAAGAAGAAAGGAAAACAAAAAAGGAAAAUUUUGAGGACACAGCAAUGGAAGGAGGUGAACCAAUCAUUCCCCACUUCAUAUUCUCCAUCUGAGCCCAUGAAUAUGCAAGUGAAUAUCAGAGCAAACAUUAUCACUGACACAGAUUCCCUUCCACAGCAUAUUUGUGUUGCCAUGCAUAUGAAUAAUUGCAUUAGUAAGGCAGAAGGUCUGGUUCCCAUAUUUUACAUGCAUCUAUAUUUUUUAUGUGGCCAUGCUUUGCACCCUAAUUAUAUGGUGCUGGAAACAGCCAUUUGUCUUGUUUCUUCCCAGUAUGAACAAGAUCUUUUUUCCAGCUGAUCCAGUACAUAAAAGAAAUUGGAGCAAGAAUAAAAAGUGUCAGCUCAAGCUACAUCUGAACAAGACAGAGGCAAAAGGAAAGCAUUUUAGUGAAGUGACGAAGGUCGGAUCAUCUGCCAUCUGGUAGGAACUCAUUGUAUUAGCAGACCAUGUUUAAUUCUACAUCUGCAUAGCAGCAAUAACUGUCUUUUAUGUUCUGCCUCUUUCUUUUCGAUGUAAGCUUCAUUACUAAAAUAGAUGGAUACAUAGAUGAGAUGACAUGACUACAUCCUCUAGCACCCUGUUUCCCAGCUGCGGGGGAACAUGACGCAAGCACAUAGUGGUAGCACUCCCUGUGACUCUCGUGUUUGGCACCAGUCACAGUGUCAGGGCUGCUUCCAGCCUUCAGGUCUCCUGGGACCGAUGUAUUGCACCAGCAUCCAGAUCCUCGACUAGUAUCUACUAUCCUCCACUAGUAUCCAGACAAUUGUGAUCAGGCCUCUGCCAGCUGAUCUAUUAAAGCAGAACACUCCUGAGAAUCUGGCAGAGCAUGUGUCCUGAGCUACUCAAUUUUGGAAGUCUCACCAAUCCCACUCUGAGGUCAGGAUAAGCCCUUGAUAAUUUUCAACUCAGAGCAAACCCAUUUUUGCAGAUACUAGAUGAAUUCACUACUGAGCAGAAGGCUAGCACUGUAGUACUUAAAUAUCAUUUGAGCCUUAUCUGAAGAUUUUAAUUGGACUUAUUUGGUAUAUGAUCUUGGCCUAGUCUUGGCACAAGGGUUAUUUUCACCCGAAAUGAACUACUGAGGAGCUGACAACAUCCUUUGGAAGAAAACCAGCAAGAAGUCAUUACUCUUGGGAUAGCUGUGAACUCCAGGAGAGUUAGAGAAGUAUUUCCUUCUUAGGCAGAAAGCAGCAUCAUAUAAAGCAAUUAACCCAAGUGCUGGGCUUAUAUGCAAUGCUAAGAUAGCUAGAGUAACUGAAAAAUAUUUACUUACAUUCAAUAUGCAAUAUCUUCGUAGUUUGGAUCAUGUUACUGUCUGCUCCUUGAUAUGGUUUCAAUUAUUUUCACAAACCAUUAAAGUCAAACUGAUGAAAUUGACCCAUCCUGUGGAACACAUCUAUUUAUGGAAUGGAUGUGCCCUGUACCAAUAAGAAUCAUAGAAUCAUUUAGGUUGGAAAAGACCUUUAAGAUCCUCAAGUCCAACUGUUAACUCAGCACUGUCAAGUCCACCGCUAAACCAUGUCCCUAAGUGCCACAUCUACACAUCUUUUAAGCAUCUCCAGGGAUGGUGACUCAACCACUUCCCUGGGCAGCCUGUUUUUGUGAAAUGUCUUUCCUAAUAUCCAAUCUAAACCUCCCCUGGUGCAACUUGAGGCUAUUUUCUCUUGUCCUAUUGCUUGCUAGCGGGGAGAAGAGAUGAACACCUGCCUCACUACAACCUCCUUUCAGGUAGUUGUAGAGGAUAGUAAGGCCUCCCAGACUGUUUUCUCUCUGUUAUAUUGUAUUUCCAGAAGAUAUCUGGUAAGAUGAAUUCCCCCAUGAGGACCAGGUCUACUGAUGGUGAAACUUCUCUCAGACGCUUAUAGAAUAUUUCAUCUGCGUCUGCAUCC